AGUAGGGGAGGUUGUUGCCAACUAUUUUCUUUCUGUGGAAGUCAUAGUUUUUAGGUAUCAGUUCAAUAUGAAAUUAGAACGAGUAAUACUUUUAAAGGAUGGGAUUAUGUGACUGCCCAUGGAUGCAUGGAUUACUGUAAUGUACUUUCAGUUAUUUUUGAAUUACCAGGCCUACUUGCAUUUACAUAUAAUAGGCUCAACAAAAUUAAGCCUACUAUACAUUUCAGAGUUCAUUUUUUAAUGGAGGGUUUUGGGGUUGAAGAAAGUGGUAUAGUUUUCAUUUCAUUAUUAUGUAGUCCAGCAGUAAAAUGUGAUCAUUAAGCUAUGAUGUUUAGCUGGAUGAGUCUAGCUUGAGUUCAAGCACUAUACAAACUACCUGAUUAAUAAUCCAGUGUUCUUACAUGGAGAAAAUAAUUUCCUGGUUUUUCUCAUAGCAAUUAUUUUCAAAAAUAUAAUGAGUUUCUUUUCUUUUUUUAAACUAGGUAUUUAUUUCAUUUACAUUUCCAAUGCUAUCCCAAAAGUCCCCCACACGCUCCCCCACCCACCCCCGUUUAUUUUCUAAUGAGGGUAAAAAUAUAAACUCAUGAAAUGUCCCAAUUAAUGAAGAGUUCACACCAAAAAAGGGAAAGAUAUAUCCUAUACAACCUCAGUGCAGUUCCUUUUCUUUUUUAUCAAUGUCAAAAGGUCUGUCAUGAAAGAAGACACCAGCCUGAAAUAAAGACCUAUACUGUGUUCUGGAGACAGGGACACAGUGUUAAAUCCCUAAUGUAAUAGUUACCAGCUAAUAAUUUGCUGGUCAUAAAAGUCAUACAUGAAGUGUCUUCCAGAAUCCACACAAGCAAGAGGACUUUUCCUGGCCAGACAGUGCAGACUGUAUUGAUUUAAUAGAGUGUUUUGCCCAUGUUUUCGUUGGUUAUGAACUGUAUAGAGAUGCAUGUGGGGAUGUGUAUUUAAGGAUAAGACUCAUCAAAGUUAUGAGUUAAACGAUGUUUGGCUAGAUGGAGAUACUUAAAUGACCAUUUCUUUCUAUAUAUGGUCUGUAAGUCAUCUUGAAGGUAACUUGUACUUCCAAAGUUAAGAAAUGCGCCUAAGGAAAUACCUUCAACCAUGAGCUGCACCCCAUGUACGUGGAUGGCCCAAUAGAAUACCUAGUCCUAGGAAUCCACUCAUUCAAAAAGUACUUAUCAAGGGCUCCCAAGAUAAAAAUCUAAGUGACCAGAGAAUAUAACCAUAUAUGUAGCAUUUUUAGAAAAGGUCUUGUACCUGUAUGGCAAAUUUAAUCUCUAACACCAUGUUUCCCGAAAACUUCC
rnacentral:lncRNA from 1 species